AGCGUCUGGAAAGGCGCGCGAUACAGGGUGACAGCCCCGUACACAAAAGCGCAUGUGCUGUGAGCUCGAUGAGUAGGGCGGGACACGUGGUAUCCUGUCUGAAUAUGGGGGGACCAUCCUCCAAGGCUAAAUACUCCUGACUGACCGAUAGUGAACCAGUACCGUGAGGGAAAGGCGAAAAGAACCCCGGCGAGGGGAGUGAAAAAGAACCUGAAACCGUGUACGUACAAGCAGUGGGAGCCCCACCACCAAAGCAUUCUCUGGUGUUGAAGGCCCUGCAAAGCAGCAUCGCGGUGGCGGAGCGUCGUUUGCGACGCCCAACACACAAAACAAGCGGUGAGUGCUUUGGGGUGGGGUGACUGCGUACCUUUUGUAUAAUGGGUCAGCGACUUAUAUUCUGUAGCAAGGUUAACCGUAUAGGGGAGCCGUAGGGAAACCGAGUCUUAACCGGGCGUUAAGUUGCAGGGUAUAGACCCGAAACCCGGUGAUCUAGCCAUGGGCAGGUUGAAGGUUGGGUAACACUAACUGGAGGACCGAACCGACUAAUGUUGAAAAAUUAGCGGAUGACCUGUGGCUGGGGGUGAAAGGCCAAUCAAACCGGGAGAUAGCUGGUUCUCCCCGAAAGCUAUUUAGGUAGCGCCUCGUGAAUUCAUCUCCGGGGGUAGAGCACUGUUUCGG
rnacentral:rRNA from 1 species